rnacentral:rRNA from 1 species
AAGAAUUUAAAGGUCGAACAGACCUAAAUUUUAAAAUUUUGCCCCUAAAAAUAAUCUUAAUUCAACAUCGAGGUCGCAAACUAAUUUUCAAAUUUGAACUUUAAAAAUUAAUUACG